CACGUAGGUGGCAAGCGUUGUCCGGAAUUACUGGGCGUAAAGGGCGUGUAGGUGGUCUAACAAGUCAGGUGUGAAACUCCGGGGCUUAACUCCGGGCAUGCAUUUGAAACUGUUAGACUUGAGGGCAAGAGAGGAAAGUGGAAUUCCUAGUGUAGCGGUGAAAUGCGUAGAUAUUAGGAGGAACACCAGUGGCGAAGGCGACUUUCUGGAUUGACCCUGACACUGAGGCGCGAAAGCGUGGGUAGCAAACAGG
rnacentral:rRNA from 1 species